AUUGAACGCUGGCGGCAGGCCUAACACAUGCAAGUCGAGCGGGGUUUUCGGACCUAGCGGCGGACGGGUGAGUAAUGCGUAGGAAGCUGCCCGAUAGAGGGGGAUACCAGUUGGAAACGACUGUUAAUACCGCAUAAUGUCUACGGACCAAAGUGUGGGACCUUCGGGCCACAUGCUAUCGGAUGCGCCUACGUGGGAUUAGCUAGUUGGUGAGGUAAUGGCUCACCAAGGCGACGAUCUCUAGCUGGUUUGAGAGGAUGAUCAGCCACACUGGAACUGAGACACGGUCCAGACUCCUACGGGAGGCAGCAGUGGGGAAUAUUGGACAAUGGGCGCAAGCCUGAUCCAGCCAUGCCGCGUGUGUGAAGAAGGCCUUCGGGUUGUAAAGCACUUUCAGCGAGGAGGAAGGGAUGUAUGUUAAUAGCAUGCAUUUUUGACGUUACUCGCAGAAGAAGCACCGGCUAACUCUGUGCCAGCCGCCGCAGUAAAAC
rnacentral:rRNA from 1 species